GGACUAGCAAGUUACUGGCUUAAUCCUGUUGGUCCUUGUGCGACGGAGGGAGUGAAUUGAGCUCUCCCCCACGCCAGUCGUGGGACGUUUGUGUCUAGAAUGCCAAGCGCGCGAGGCGGGCAUUAAUUAGGGCUAACGGCCUGUAAUUGGAGCUGCCUUUAUUCCUCCCUCCUUUCUCCAAGCCUGAGACUGUCAGAAGGCUCAUUUCCACUGACGCGUCAUAAUUAACGCCGAGCCUAAUGUGAAAGGCAGAUGAGAGUGAAGCCCGAAAUAGCUCCGAGCUACCCAAGAGUGAAAUCGCAGCCUGGUCAGAAAGUCAAGGACAUGAUGGACAGCCUUUUGCUUCUGUCUCCAAAGGUCAGUGCCCAGUCAAACGAGGGUUCCUGGCUCUCAGAAGAGGUGAGUUAUGUAACUCUGGCAUCUCCUCAGCCAUCUCAGCUGAAGCCAGGACUAUAUAUGACAUUACUCAGGAGAGAUUUGGGAAGGAUCCUCUGAUUUAAUGAAGCAAGCCCCUCAGUAUACACAGGAAACAUAGAACGUUUUUGAGACUUUUGUACCAGUAGAAGGUUACCUUACUGGUAACCUUCUUGCUUGAUCUUGAAGUGGUGAGGGCAGAAGGAGCCCAAAACUGCACAGGUGAGACAGUGGAUGGCAGAAUUACUGUGCUGCAGACACGUGCUGUCUUUCGUGAAGAUGGGAUUGUGACUCAGAGGCGGAACUUCGAGCUCACAAGUUGAACCAUGGUUGCAGAGGACAGAGCUGAGAAUCACAGAGCAUUGUUCCCAGACCUUGACACCACAGUAGUUUUCUCAGGCAGAUUUCAGAAUUGAUUGAGACUGCUGACUCCUUUAAAAUAUCAUUCGUUUUCUCCCUUUGUGCAAGGAAGUGUGUAUAACUGUUGCCCUAGGCCUUUCCCAUGCGUGCGUUUUGAGACCCGGUCACCUUUUACUUGUGUUCCACAGGUUCACAAAUAGAGAGUUGUGCCUCAAGAUUGAAUUAUACAUAGUCUUACCUGUACCUAAUUUACAUGAAUUAGAACACGUUGUUAGCUUUAUUAUUUUCCCUGUUUUAAACUUUAUUGGUUUCUUUUUUAAUUUUUGUUAUUUCUUUCCUUUUGCUUGCCUUGGGCUUUAAUUGUUCUUCCUUCUCUGUUUUCCUAAGGGAGAAACUCAGAUUAUUGAUUUCAAAUCUUUGUUCUUUUCUAAUACAAAUACUUAUUGCUAUAAUUUCCCCCAAGCACUACUUUUCUGCAUCUUACACAUUUUUCUAUAUUGUAUUUUUUUCUUUUACCGAGUUAAAGAUAAUUUAAUUGAUCUUGAGAAUUUCUUUGACCCAUGUUAAAUUAAACAACUGUUGUUUAUUUUCCAAAUACUUGGGGAUUUUCCAACUAUAUUUCUGAUAUGAAUUUCUAGUCUAAUCCCACUGUCACCUGAAAACAUACUUUCUAUGAUUAAUAUUUGUUUUAAAAGCUGUUAAAGUAUGUUUUAUGGCCCAG
rnacentral:lncRNA from 1 species